CGAUUAGGCCGAGGGGUUAAGGCUAUGGAAUGCUAAUCCUUUAGGCUCGGCCUGCGUGGGUUCGAAUCCCAUCCAUGUCGA
rnacentral:tRNA from 1 species